UUAAAUGGCCGCAGUAAUUUGACUGUGCAAAGGUAGCAUAAUCAUUAGUUUUUUAAUUAAAAGCUUGUAUGAAUGGUUGGACGAAAUAAAUACUGUCUUUAAAUAAUAAAUAGAAUUUAAUUUUUAAGUCAAAAAGCUUAAAUAUUUAUAAAAGACGAGAAGACCCUAUAGAUCUUUAUAUUAUUUUAUAUACAUUUAAUUAAGAUUAUUUUAUUAUUUAUAUUUAAUAAUAUUUUAUUGGGGUAAUAAAAAGAUUAAAUUAAUUCUUUAUUAUUUAAAAUAUUAAUUAAUAGAUUUUUGAUCCUUUAUUAGAGAUUAUAAGAUUAAGUUACCUUAGGGAUAACAGCGUAAUUUUUUUAAAGAGUUCAUAUCGAUAAAAAAGUUUGCGACCUCGAUGUUGGAUUAAAAAUUAUUCUAGGUGUAGUAGUUUAGAAUUUUGGUCUGUUCGACCAUUGAAUUUUUACAUGAUCUGAGUUCAGACCGGCGUAAGCCAGGUCGGUUUCUAUCUUUAUUUAAUUAAUAUAUUUUAGUACGAAAGGACCAAAUAUAAAUUAUAGUUAUAAUUAAAUUUUUGAAUCAUAUUAUUACUUUGGCAGAUUAGUGCAAUGAAUUUAGAAUUCAAAUAUAUAAUUUUUAUUAUAAGUAAUAUUGUUUAUAUUUGAUUAUAUUUCUUUUAUUUCUAUAUUAUUA
rnacentral:rRNA from 1 species